GAUGAACGCUAGCGGCAGGCCUAAUACAUGCAAGCCGAACGGCAAGCUUUGUAGCAAUACAGAGCCUAGAGUGGCGUAAGGGUGCGUAACACGUAUGGAAUCUGCCCUCAACAGGAGGAUAGCUCCCCGAAAGGGGAAUUAACACUCCAUAGGAUAUAGGUGUGGCAUCACAUUUAUAUUAAACCGCAAGGGGUUGAGGAUGAGCAUGCGCAUGAUUAGUUAGUUGGCGGGUAACGGCCCACCAAGACGAUGAUCAUUAGGGGAACUGAGAGGUUGACUCCCCCACACUGG
rnacentral:rRNA from 1 species